rnacentral:rRNA from 1 species
AUGAUCCAAAAUGAAAUGCAAUACCCUUAUAAAUUUCUGUGGAAAGUGAAAAUGCCCCCUAGGGUUAAAUUUUUUGUUUGGUUAUUGCUGAGAAAAAGUAUUCUUACCAAACAAAAUCUUAGAGAAAGAGGAUGGCAGGGAGACACAAAAUGUUCCUUUUGCGGGAGAGAGGAAGAUAUUGAGCAUUUAUUUGUACAUUGUUCUGUGGCAAAAAUGUUAUGGAUGGUUUUGAAAUGA